UUUGGUCAAUCUUCAAGUCAUCCUACUGGCAACAUUUUUUAACACAGAGCACCAUUUGAAGAAAAUAUCACAGGCCCACUACUCAUCCAAGAAAUGGUUACUUCUGAGGGCAAGCUGCUUUCGGAGGGUCCAGGAAGCCCUGACUGACAUCAUUCGAGGAUCAACCUUGUACUCCAAACACGGGAGGGCAGGCGAGUCAGAUGAGAAUUGUAUCUUGUGCAGGACACUGAGCAAAAAGACAGGGCCCCCGACAUCAGUAGUGCAGGGAUUAAGGACUAUUGGAGAGCUGCAAUACCAGAGCCAGAGAACAGAGUUGACAGCGGGAACUUUGUGCACUUUCCCCUGAGGACUCCAUUCUGUUCUCACAACGGCCAGGCAUCUGAGAGGUAGGAACGUACACACAAGGACACCCAGAGGCCUGUGGUCUGAGAGUCAGCCGCGCAAGCUUCUGAGUAAACGUUUUUCAGGAUUCCAGAGUGGUGCUGGGGGAUGGUUUUACAGGAGAGACAAAUCAGCCACGUGCAGAAAAUGCAACGCCACGGAAACGAAUCCAACUUGCUUCUCUGACAGAGAGAAGGCAAUGAAAUCCUUCAGGCCACCGGGCGAGCAGCCUCUGCUGCUGGGGGUCCUAGCUCGGGCUCAUCACUGCUGGUUUAUCAGAUGACAUUCUCUGCCAGGCCCGAUAUGUUAAGGCGGCCCUGGCUUGGGGGCUUUCUCUGCUCAUGAGAGAAAGAGCGUGGAUGAGACUGUGUUUUCCUUUGCAGAACUUGACUGUUCAUCCCUCAUGCCACACCCGAAAUCAGAAGCCCACACCAUGCUUGGCUUUUCCAAAAUAAUGACUCUAAUAUAACAUCAAAAAUAGCUGUGUCAACUCACCUUUGAGAAGUAGGUGGAGGGGCAGAUGUCAUAACGACCUAACACCGAGGAGUAAUUAGACCAAUAUUAAAUGUUAUUGCCCCCAGCCAGCGUAGUUCUAUGCGACUACUUGAACUGACUCGAACGCAGCGCAUAAUGUGAGCACGAUACAAUU
rnacentral:lncRNA from 1 species